GUUUACUUAAGUAGUCCAUAUACUAAAACUGGAACAUUGUAGAGAUUAGCAUGGUCCCUGUGCUAGGAUGACAUGCAAAUUUGUGAAGUGUUUGACAUUUAA